UACGUAGGGUGCAAGCGUUGUCCGGAAUUAUUGGGCGUAAAGAGCUCGUAGGCGGUCUGUCACGUCGGCUGUGAAAUCCCGAGGCUCAACCUCGGGUCUGCAGUCGAUACGGGCAAACUAGAGUAUUGCAGGGGAGACUGGAAUUCCUGGUGUAGCGGUGAAAUGCGCAGAUAUCAGGAGGAACACCGGUGGCGAAGGCGGGUCUCUGGGCAAUAACUGACGCUGAGGAACGAAAGCGUGGGGAGCGAACAGG
rnacentral:rRNA from 1 species